CCCUAAGUCCCAGCCCUUGAGGGUCCAUGAGACUGGGGCAGCAGCAGGGGCAGGUACAGAGCACCUCAGCCGCCUCUCCACCUGACAGCAACAUCAAAGCCGAGGCCAAGGCGGGAGGGCCCAGAGUGAGACACCUCUUCCAGACAAGACUUGGUCGCUGCCUCCUCCUCUGUCACCCUGCGACACAGCCCAGAGUACCAGGCGGCUGGAGCACUGGGGGACACCCGGACAGAACCCUCCCUGGACCAAGUCCUCCAGGAACGGGAUGAAGCCAUUGCCAAGAAGCAGGCGGUGGAGGCGGAGCUGCAGAGAUGCAAAGCCAGGCUACACGCCAUGGAGGCCCAGCUGCUGGAGGUCCUGGAGGAGAAACUGAGGCUGAGGCGGGAGCUGGAGGCCUGGGAGGAGGACGUGCAGCAGCUGGUGUGGCAGCAGGUCCAGAAUCAGCUGCAGAGAGAGGCCAAGGGUACUCGGGG